rnacentral:lncRNA from 1 species
UGGAGGCUGCGACUGAGCCCAAAAGAACGAAGACUGCUUAGGAAGGCAGAGGAGAGUGUUAGGAGAAAGCCACAUUCCAUGCAAAGGUUUCCUAGGUGCAAAUGCAUAAAGCAUGCUGGGAAGCUGAGAGUAACUCAUCUGGCUAGAGAAGACUGCACUGAACACAUCUGAGGGAGAGAGGUGAUGAAAACACUGUUUAAAGAAAAUCAUUCCUUGUGGAUGCCAGAUGGAGUACAUUGGGAAACAACUGGAGGGCUCCAGAGGACUUCAGUGUGACAGACACAUGAGCAACAGCAAGAGCAGAGCAAGGCUGAAGUCUAGCCCUGCUUCUAGCUAACUGUAUACCUUUCACAGCAUCUUCAUUUUCUUUAUUCAAUCAGUUGUUUUCCUGCCCCUCAAUGAUAAGCAGUUUGGGAUCUCUGCUAAAUUUCUUAGGGAAUUAUGUGCUCCUGUGCAUCUGCUGUGUUUGUGUCCUCUUCUCACUGUCAUUUCCAAAACAAGGUUUCAAUAUAGUGCUGGGAUAUCCCCUGUGAGCAACAGUGAGCAAUAUCCCCUGCCUGCAACUGAAUAAGAGUAAAG